AUCUGCAAAGGAAGCAUUUUAGGUUUUCAGCCUUGCAGAAUAAGAUAACAUUUUGUUCACCAGUAGGUGGCAGUAGGGGACUUGUCAAAAAUGCCUGUGUGUGACUGUGUGUGUGUGUGAGCUCAGUGACUCCAACUGGGUGGGGGUUUUUAUCUGAUAAAUGCAUAAAUAAAACUGUGUAUGACUUAAAGAUUGCAGCUCUGUGCUGUCGGAGGUAAUCCGCAGCUCAUAUUUCCUGGCAGAAAAAUUGAGUAUUCAUUGUGGAAAUGAUCUUGUAGAUUAACUCAGUUUCAGGCAGAGGUGCACUGAGAAUGGAUUAUCCAUUUAGGCCGUUUGUAAGUUUGUAUUUUGUACAUGAACGGAGCAUUACGGCUUCACCUCCGUGGCAGGAGUGAUAUAUUUUUAAGUUGAUUUCAGGUUUGUGACAGAGGAGGGGAGGAGAGGUGUGUGUGCCACAGUUAACAGCGCGCGGACGAAGAAAAAUGAAUGCUUUCAGGGAUGUCGUCAGUCAAGUGCCGUGCUCGGCAUCCUAAUGUGCUUGGGCUGUGAUUUUUUUUUAUUUUUUUUUAUCUUCUUCAUUUUCCUGAAUUUGAUGUUAUAUAACUGCAGACCCUGCUGAAAACAUCUUUAACCAGUCUAAGCUGGUUUACUCCUGCGUGAUUGCUGGUUUAAAGAGGUUAUGGGGCUUUUCAGCUGGUUCGAAGAGACCAGAUUAAACCAGCUAAAACCAGCCUAUCCAGGUUUAAGAUUUUUCAGGCGAGUGUGCAAAAGUGACUGAAAGGAAGAGAAAAUGAUGGGCUAUUGAUGAGGAGCUGUCAUGGAGCCUAUAUCUGCCUCUCUUGUACCAUUGAUUAUUUAAAUGCAGUAAUUUAUUAAUCAGGUUGGUCUAAGCCUGUCUGGCACACAGUCUUUCGACUACAGAUGUAGUUUAACAUAGGAAACAGACACUGGCACAUGCCAGUACAGUCUAAAUCUUAACAACCUGUAUCAUCAACCACCUGCCCAAUCACAUCUACAAGCACAUGAAUUGCAGUGUUCUUCAUUUUUCAUUUGUCCAAAUACUAUUGGCUGAAUAAACCAAAAUUGUUAAUCCUAUUGUUGGACGAA
ensembl:lncRNA